rnacentral:pre_miRNA from 1 species
UGAAGCCCAAAACAACUAUUGGGCACUGCACAGGACUAGUUACCCGAAUAUACUCUUGUGCGUGUUCUAAUAGUUGUUGUCGGAGCUUCA